CAAGUCUAUCUCCAAAGCAAAAUGAAAGAAAGGGAGCAUCUUCUAUCUUUGUUAAUAUAGCUAAGAACUUUAAAGCGGGGAAUGCGGAUCAGAAUGCAAAUCAAUCAGUUCAUACUAAUAGACUGGAAAAUUUAAAACAAUUAUUCUCCAGUCCUCCUUUCUUAAAGUCUUCCUCGAGCACAGUAGAUAAGCAAGAUCCUUUUGCGAUUGACAUAGAUGACAUUCAAAUUGAUGAACCUGUAGUCUUCUCAUCUCCUCAGAAAAUCGAUAUUGACAAGAGAGAUAAAGGGAAAGGAACAGACAGACAAAAAUUUCUUGAAGAAGCAAGCACAUACUUGAAACCAAAAGCUAGAACAGCUGACGAAAUUAAGGCUAAAUACAGAAAGACGGGCACAGGGGAUGCCUCGGCAGCAGCUGCACUUGCAAGGGAUAAACUUGUAGAGCGG